rnacentral:rRNA from 1 species
GAUGAACGCUGGCGGCGUGCCUAAUACAUGCAAGUCGAGCGAACAGACGAGGAGCUUGCUCCUCUGACGUUAGCGGCGGACGGGUGAGUAACACGUGGAUAACCUACCUAUAAGACUGGGAUAACUUCGGGAAACCGGAGCUAAUACCGGAUAAUAUAUUGAACCGCAUGGUUCAAUAGUGAAAGACGGUUUUGCUGUCACUUAUAGAUGGAUCCGCGCCGCAUUAGCUAGUUGGUAAGGUAACGGCUUACCAAGGCAACGAUGCGUAGCCGACCUGAGAGGGUGAUUGGCCACACUGGAACUGAGACACGGUCCAGACUCCUACGGGAGGCAGCAGUAGGGAAUCUUCCGCAAUGGGCGAAAGCCUGACGGAGCAACGCCGCGUGAGUGAUGAAGGUCUUCGGAUCGUAAAACUCUGUUAUUAGAGAAGAACAAAUGUGUAAGUAACUAUGCACGUCUUGACGGUACCUAAUCAGAAAGCCACGGCUGACUACGUG